GAUGAACGCUGGCGGCGUGCCUAAUACAUGCAAGUCGAGCGAACGGACGAUAAGCUUGCUUCUCUGAUGUUAGCGGCGGACGGGUGAGUAACACGUGGAUAACCUACCUAUAAUACUGGGAUAACUUCGGGAAACCGGAGCUAAUACCGGAUAAUAUUUUGAACCGCAUGGUUCAAAAGUGAAAGACGGUCUUGCUGUCACUUAUAGAUGGAUCCGCGCUGCAUUAGCUAGUUGGUAAGGUAACGGCUUACCAAGGCAACGAUGCAUAGCCGACCUGAGAGGGUGAUCGGCCACACUGGAACUGAGACACGGUCCAGACUCCUACGGGAGGCAGCAGUAGGGAAUCUUCCGCAAUGGGCGAAAGCCUGACGGAGCAACGCCGCGUGAGUGAUGAAGGUCUUCGGAUCGUAAAACUCUGUUAUUAGGGAAGAACAUAUGUGUAAGUAACUGUGCACAUCUUGACGGUACCUAAUCAGAAAGCCAUGGCUAACUACGUG
rnacentral:rRNA from 1 species